rnacentral:lncRNA from 1 species
ACUCCUGGUUUGGUGUGCUCUUACAAGAAAAGUGUCAAAACCUUGGUCAAGUGCAAUGCACAGGAGUUGCAUCCACGACAGCAGUUAGUCAGAAAGAAAAGAUAUUUGUGAAAUGGCUGCUGUGGCUGGACUCUGUCCUAGAUUCUGGUGACGCAUUGGUGAAUAAGUCAAACCUUGCUCUGACUGUUGGAAGCUUAUAUUUUCAUGGUGGAAAGACAAAUAAUGAACAACUAAAUAAACAAGAUGUUUUUAGAGAGUGACAGAAGAACUAAAAUCAGGUCAAGAACUAGGCUUACAUCAACACUGACUAAUUUAGAUUAACAAAGGUUUAUCAAGCAAGCAGCAGGGGAUCCAU